rnacentral:SRP_RNA from 1 species
GGAGACUGGCGGCGGACGGGCCGCCGGGUAACCCGGUCAGGUCCGGAAGGAAGCAGCCGUAACCGGUCAGGCCUGGGUCGUCCGUUCAGUCUCCCAC